rnacentral:rRNA from 1 species
CUGGCUCAGGAUGAACGCAGCGACAGGCUUAACACAUGCAAGUCGAGGGGCAGCGGGGGUGAUGGCUUGCCAUCACCUGCCGGCGACCGGCGCACGGGUGAGUAACACGUAUGCAACCUGCCCGCCACAGGGGGAUAAGCGGAAGAAAUUCCGUCUAAUACCGCGUGACGCGGCGCCGGGGCAUCCCGGUGCCGCCAAAGGGAUUACCGGUGGCGGAUGGGCAUGCGGCGCAUUAGCUAGUCGGCGGGGUAACGGCCCACCGAGGCGACGAUGCGUAGGGGUUCUGAGAGGAAGGUCCCCCACACUGGUACUGAGACACGGACCAGACUCCUACGGGAGGCAGCAGUGAGGAAUAUUGGUCAAUGGGCGCGAGCCUGAACCAGCCAAGUCGCGUGAGGGAUGACGGUCCUACGGAUUGUAAACCUCUUUUGCCGGGGAGCAAGCGUGCGUUCGUGAACGCGCGUCGAGAGUACCCGGAGAAAAAGCAUCGGCUAACUCCGUGCCAGCAGCCGCGGUAAUACGGAGGAUGCGAGCGUUAUCCGGAUUUAUUGGGUUUAAAGGGUGCGUAGGCGGGAUGCCAAGUCAGCGGUAAAAAUGCGGUGCUCAACGCCGUCGAGCCGUUGAAACUGGCGUUCUUGAGUGGGCGAGAAGUAUGCGGAAUGCGUGGUGUAGCGGUGAAAUGCAUAGAUAUCACGCAGAACUCCGAUUGCGAAGGCAGCAUACCGGCGCCCUACUGACGCUGAGGCACGAAAGCGUGGGUAUCGAACAGGAUUAGAUACCCUGGUAGUCCACGCAGUAAACGAUGUAUGCUAACUGUCCGGCUCGAAUGAGCGCUGGGCGGUACAGCGAAAGCUUAAAGCAUCCCCCUGGGGAUUACCCGGGCACGGUGAAACUCAAAGGAAUUGACGGGGGCCCGCACAAGCGGAGGAACAUGUGGUUUAUUCGGAUGAUACGCGAGGAACCUUACCCGGGCUCAAACGCAGGAUGACGGGUCCCGAAAGGGGUCUUUCUUCGGACAUUCUGCGAGGUGCUGCAUGGUGGUCGUCAGCUCGUGCCGUGAGGUGUCGGCUUAAGUGCCAUAACGAGCGCAACCCCUGUCCACAGUUGCCAGCAGGUAAAGCUGGGGACUCUGUGGAGACUGCCGGCGCAAGCUGCGAGGAAGGCGGGGAUGACGUCAAAUCAGCACGGCCCUUACGUCCGGGGCGACACACGUGUUACAAUGGCAGGUACAGCGGGAUGCCACGGGGCGACCCGGCGCUGAACCCGAAAACCUGUCUCAGUUCGGAUUGGAGUCUGCAACCCGACUCCAUGAAGCUGGAUUCGCUAGUAAUCGCGCAUCAGCCACGGCGCGGUGAAUACGUUCCCGGGCCUUGUACACACCGCCCGUCAAGCCAUGGAAGCCGGGGGUACCUGAAGUGCGUGACCGCGAGGAGCGCCCUAGGGUAAAACCGGUGACUGGGGCUAAGUCGUAACAAGGUA